rnacentral:lncRNA from 1 species
AGUAAUUUGCUUGGGUCCUCUUCUAAUGUGUGGCAGGUUUGUUUUUUCGCUCUUUGCAAUUAAAUCUUGCCAUUGCUCACUCUUUGGGUCCACACUGCUUUUAUGAGCUGUAACACUCACCGCGAAGGUCUGCAGCCUCGCUGCUGAAGCCAGCGAGACCACGAACCCACCGGGAGGAACGAACAACUACAGCUGCGCCGCCUUAAGAGCUGUAACACCGCGAAGGUCUGCAGCUUCACUUCUGAGCCAGCGAGACCACGAACCCACUAGAAGGAAGAAACUCCGGACAUGCCCCCUUUAAGAACUGUUAACACUCAGCGCGAGGGUCCGAGGCUUCUUUCUUGAAGUCAGUGAGACCAAGAACCCACCAAUUCUGGACACAGUGACAAGGAAAAGACAGCGGUAAUUGCCACAUUGAGUGAACCAAGUUUCUAAAUGGCUGGCAUUUGCAUAUUAAAGGUUGCCUGCCCGGCCCUUCAAGCCACCUUUUCUGUUAGAAAAGAGAUGGUUCGGGGCUGUUUUUUUAUUACAGGAAAAUUUCCUCCGAGAACCUUUACCCUGAGUAGCUGCCUGGAAAUUAUUUCUUAAGAAC